AGAGUUUGAUCCUGGCUCAGAUUGAACGCUGGCGGAAUGCCUAACACAUGCAAGUCGAGCGGGGUAGCAAUACCCAGCGGCGGACGGGUGAGGAAUACAUAGGAAUCUGCCUUUAGGUGGGGGAUAGCUUGGGGAAACUCARGGUAAUACCGCAUGAUCUCGCAAGAGCAAAGUGGGGGACCGCAAGGCCUCACGCCUUUAGAGGAGCCUAUGUCUGRUUAGCUAGUUGGUGAGGUAACGGCUCACCAAGGCGACGAUCAGUAACUGGUCUGAGAGGACGAUCAGUCACACCGGAACUGAGACACGGUCCGGACUCCUACGGGAGGCAGCAGUGGGGAAUAUUGGACAAUGGGCRCAAGCCUGAUCCAGCAAUUCCGCGUGUGUGAAGAAGGCCUUCGGGUUGUAAAGCACUUUAGGUUGGGAAGAAAAAACUUCUMCUAAUACGAGAAGCGUUGACGGUACCAACAGAAUAAGCACCGGCUAACUCUGUGCCAGCAGCCGCGGUAAUACAGAGGGUGCAAGCGUUAAUCGGAUUUACUGGGCGYAAAGCGUGCGUAGGUGGUUUCGUAAGUCGGAUGUGAAAGCCCCGGGCUCAACCUGGGAACUGCAUUCGAUACUGCGAGACUCGAGUUUGGUAGAGGGUGGCGGAAUUCCCGGUGUAGCGGUGAAAUGCGUAGAUAUCGGGAGGAACAUCAAUGGCGAAGGCAGCCACCUGGGCCUGAACUGACACUGAGGCACGAAAGCGUGGGUAGCAAACAGGAUUAGAUACCCUGGUAGUCC
rnacentral:rRNA from 1 species